rnacentral:lncRNA from 1 species
CACUUCUUCUUAUCCAUUCCUCCCGUGUCAAGCUCCUCUCUCUCGACCGCGUUCUUCUUAUCCAGUUCUUAUCCAGACCGGCCGACGUCUCGCCUCCACUGCGCUCAUCGAGGACGGGGCUGGAGGCGGAGGCGGCAGUGGCGCCCACCGAGGAGAGCUCGCCGAAAGGUGAGGAAUCUCUUCACCUCUGCUUUCUCUCCCUCUCCUCUGUAGCCAUUCAUCCCCUCUGCAGUUUUCUGCAGUGCGGCCAUUGUUUCUGCAACGUGGUUGUUGUUGCAGGAGUUGGAGAGAUUGUUUCUGCAACCCGUUCGUUGUUUCAGGAAUUGUUUCUGCAACCCGCUGUGGCCGCUGCUGCAGGAAAGCGAUUGUUUCUGAAACUCGGCCUUUGUUUCAGGAAUUAAUGGAUCUAAAGUUUAUUUUUUGCAACAAAGCAAUUGUUUCUACAACUCGAGCGUCAUUUCAAGAAUGAAGUCCACGAGCGGAUCGAUCGGCUACGCGCGAGAUCGAACGGCUGUCGAGGUGGUGGAUGUUUAUUAAAUAUCCACCGGUGGAUGCGUAGCAGCUCCCAUCAAACAAAGGGUCACAUUUUUCUGAUUAAUGUGGGAUUUUCUAGUUAUUUUCCUAUUUUGAUCCGUAUUUUGCUUUUAGUAGAUAAUAGAUGGUAUCUUGGACAUCUAUUUGAUGCAACCCUUUCUUUUGUGGUGUGUUUGUUGGGAUCUGAUGAACUGUGAGUUUAUGAUUAGGUCUAUGAAAUUAUACCCAUACUUGAUUAUUACAG